rnacentral:rRNA from 1 species
GUGCCAGCCGCCGCGGUAAUACCGGCAGCCCAAGUGAUGGCCGCUGUUAUUGGGCCUAAAGCGUCCGUAGCUGGCCAAGCAAGUCCAUUGGGAAAUCUACGCGCUCAACACGUGGGCGUCCGGUGGAAACUGUUUGGCUUGGGGCCAGAAGACCUGAGGGGUACGUUCGGGGUAGGAGUGAAAUCCUAUAAUCCCGCACGGACCACCGAUGGCGAAAGCACUUCGAGAAAACGGAUCCGACAGUGAGGGACGAAAGCCAGGGUCUCCAACCGGAUUAGAUACCCCGGUAGUCC